rnacentral:rRNA from 1 species
UACAGAGACUGCAAGCGUUAUUCGGAUUCACUGGGCGUAAAGGGUGCGCAGGCGGCCAAGUGUGUGAGGCGUGAAAGCCCGGGGCUUAACCCCGGAAUUGCACCUCAAACUACAUGGCUAGAGCAUUGGAGAGGGUAGCAGAAUUCAUGGUGUAGCAGUGAAAUGCGUAGAUAUCAUGAGGAAUACCAGUGGCGAAGGCGGCACUCUGGGCCGGUACUGACGCUGAGGAGCGAAAGCGUGGGGAGCGAACAGG